rnacentral:rRNA from 1 species
UAAGGAAUAUUGGUCAAUGGACGCAAGUCUGAACCAGCCAUGCCGCGUGGAGGAUGAAGGUCCUCUGGAUUGUAAACUUCUUUUAUCUGGGAAGAAAUGCAUUUUUUCUAAAGUGUUUGACGGUACCAGAUGAAUAAGCACCGGCUAACUCCGUGCCAGCAGCCGCGGUAAUACGGAGGGUGCAAGCGUUAUCCGGAUUCACUGGGUUUAAAGGGUGCGUAGGUGGGCAGGUAAGUCAGUGGUGAAAUCUCCGGGCUUAACCCGGAAACUGCCAUUGAUACUAUCUGUCUUGAAUACCGUGGAGGUGAGCGGAAUAUGUCAUGUAGCGGUGAAAUGCUUAGAUAUGACAUAGAACACCAAUUGCGAAGGCAGCUCACUACACGAAUAUUGACACUGAGGCACGAAAGCGUGGGGAUCAAACAG